UACGGGGGGGGCAAGCGUUGUUCGGAAUUACUGGGCGUAAAGGGCGCGUAGGCGGUUGGAUAAGUCAGCUGUGAAAACCACGGGCUUAACUCGUGGCCUGCAGUUGAGACUGUCUAGCUUGAGUGUGGGAGAGGAGAGUGGAAUUCCUGGUGUAGCGGUGAAAUGCGCAGAUAUCAGGAGGAACACCUACGGCGAAGGCAGCUCGCUGGGACGGUACUGACGCUGAGACGCGAAAGCGUGGGGAGCAAACAGG
rnacentral:rRNA from 1 species